CCACUCCAUGACCUCACCCGCAAGCUUCUCAGCGAGCUCCUCCGCCGGCCGCACGUCAUAUUCCACUGGUACGGCGGCGGCAGCGCAAUCGCCCAUGCCAUAUCGGCAGGGUCCGCUACAAUACGAGCCCCAAAACUUGCGCGGCUGCAGAGUGGAAGCACCCGGAUGGAUUUCCUGGAGUGUGAAGAACCCAGGGCGCAGGUGCUACAAUUGCGGAAAUCGAAGGGUGUGGACUGCAGGUUCUUUGAGUGGCAUGACGAUCCAAAUACUCCAUUUCUGAAUUAGCUGGUCGGUGACUUGCUUGAUACUGUGUAUCAUCUGAAAAAAGAGAAGACACAGUUGGCAGAAUCUCGAAUCUAAGUUGAAGCUCGCAUGGAUAAGGCUGUAGAUGUGGAGAUGGGCAUGAGGUCUUUUGUGCAUGAGAUGCAGUUCAAGCAAGCAGCAGAAGCAGAAGAAGAAAUGCAUAGGAAAUUGGAAAGAUUUAGAAAGAUGUGGUAGCAUCUUGUAAUCUGCUUGGUGGUUGCUUUCUUCUGUUUUGUUAUGAAAUGAAUUGGUACUGUAAUGUGGCAUGAUCUUUUGAAAGAUUUAGAGAGACGUGGCAGUAUGUUGAGAAAGAUGUGCCAGUAUGUUCAGACAUGUUUGUAUGUGACUGUAGACCAACGAAUUAUGUUCAGUACUGGCUUACAAAGUACAAAUAUUUUGCUAUCUGAUU